rnacentral:rRNA from 1 species
GACGAACGCUGGCGGCGUGCUUAACACAUGCAAGUCGAACGGAAAGGCCCCUUUGGGGGUACUCGAGUGGCGAACGGGUGAGUAACACGUGAGUAACCUUCCCUUGACUUCGGGAUAACUUCAGGAAACUGGGGCUAAUACCGGAUAGGAAUCCUUGCUGCAUGGUGGGGGUUGGAAAGCUUCGGCGGUUUUGGAUGGACUCGCGGCUUAUCAGCUUGUUGGUGGGGUAGUGGCUUACCAAGGCUUUGACGGGUAGCCGGCCUGAGAGGGCGACCGGCCACAUUGGGACUGAGAGACGGCCCAGACUCCUACGGGAGGCAGCAGUGGGGAAUAUUGCACAAUGGGCGGAAGCCUGAUGCAGCAACGCCGCGUGCGGGAUGACGGCCUUCGGGUUGUAAACCGCUUUCAGCAGGGGCGAAGCUUGUGGUGACGGUACCUGCAGAAGAAGCACCGGCUAACUACGUG